rnacentral:rRNA from 1 species
CAGCAGCCGCGGUAAUACGUAGGGGGCUAGCGUUAUCCGGAAUUACUGGGCGUAAAGGGUGCGUAGGUGGUUUCUUAAGUCAGAGGUGAAAGGCUACGGCUCAACCGUAGUAAGCCUUUGAAACUGGGAAACUUGAGUGCAGGAGAGGAGAGUGGAAUUCCUAGUGUAGCGGUGAAAUGCGUAGAUAUUAGGAGGAACACCAGUUGCGAAGGCGGCUCUCUGGACUGUAACUGACACUGAGGCACGAAAGCGUGGGGAGCAAACAGGAUUAGAUACCCUGGUAGUCCACGCCGUAAACGAUGAGUACUAGCUGUCGGAGGUUACCCCCUUCGGUGGCGCAGCUAACGCAUUAAGUACUCCGCCUGGGAAGU